CUGGAGACAGGUGCUGCAUGGCUGUCGUCAGCUCGUGUCGUGAGACUGUUGGGUUAAGUCCCGCAACGAGCGCAACCCUUGCCUUUAGUUGCCAGCAGUUCGGCUGGCACUCUAAAGGGACUGCCGGUGUUAAACCGGAGGAAGUGGGGAUGACGUCAAGUCCUCAUGGCCUUUAUGACCAGGGCUACACACGUACUACAAUGGCCGAUACAAAGGGCAGCGACACUGCGAGGUGAAGCCAAUCCCGUAAAAUCGGUCUCAGUCCGGAUUGGAGUCUGCAACUCGACUCCAUGAAGUUGGAAUCGCUAGUAAUCGUGGAUCAGCAUGCCACGGUGAAUACGUUCCCGGGCCUU
rnacentral:rRNA from 1 species